AUGGAGGGGGAAAGAGAAGGAGAAAAGACCAAGAACCUAGGAGUCACCGGUGACUCAUGGCUAUGAUCCUAGCACCCAGGGACUGAGACGGGAGGGGCCUGUGAAAUGGAAUUCCAGCAGACUCAUUGCAUCUAGGGCAAACAUUAGAAUAAAAUAGUUCUUUUCUUUCUUUUUUUUUUUUUGAAAGUGUGAAGAGACAUUUAUUCAAGACUUCUGUAUUUCUCACAAUGCUUUCAACGUCUAAUAAAAUCCCGUCUAGCUUUCACAUGCUUAAAAUAGCUGUUUUCUAAAAGUACUUAGACCUUGAGGAAAUCAUGGUGGAAAACUGAUUGUUCUCUGUUAUUUAUAGAGUUGUUUUCCUGAAGGAGCUAUACAGCCUUGCCUUGACUUUAGUCACAAAAACGGUCUGGCAAGCCUGGAAUGUCUUGCACUAUUGGGUGCUGCAAACAGUGCACAAGGUUUCAGGGGUGGUGGUUUUGGUGUGCGUGACGUUUUCCUUCAGAAAACAUGAAUCAGAUCAGGGCUUUUGUAUGAGGAACUUGUUCCCAAAAAGCAACUUUUGUGCAACAUCAAUACAUGUGUUUCUGCAUGGCUGUUGGAGUUCAUUGAGGCUGACAUCCCAGCUGACUCAGAGCCUGGGUUACGACCUGGAGUGACCCCUUUCUCAGAACACUGACAUGCCUGGACGAUGGUCCUUCAAGGGAUGUUCCUGUAUGUGGCAGUCGGGGCUCAAGCCAGUUUAACUUCUCAACAGAGUCUACUUAACUCCCCAUGGAGCAGACCAGAUCUUGCCAUUCAUCCAUUCCUGCUUCCGGACCAGGUUCCUGCCUUGACUUCCGUUUUCGAUGGAUGGACCGUUACCCAGAAGCCUAAGAUAAAAUACACCUUCUCCGUC